rnacentral:rRNA from 1 species
AUUGAACGCUGGCGGCAUGCUUUACACAUGCAAGUCGAACGGCAGCGCGGGCUUCGGCUUGGCGGCGAGUGGCGAACGGGUGAGUAAUGCAUCUGAACGUGCCCCGUAGUGGGGGAUAGCCCGGCGAAAGCCGGAUUAAUACCGCAUACGACCUGAGGGUGCAAGCGGGGGGCCGAAAGGCCUCGCGCUAUUGGAGCGGCCGAUGUCGGAUUAGUUAGUUGGUGGGGUAAAGGCUUACCAAGGCGGCGAUCCGUAGCUGGUCUGAGAGGACGACCAGCCACACUGGGACUGAGACACGGCCCAGACUCCUACGGGAGGCAGCAGUGGGGAAUUUUGGACAAUGGGGGCAACCCUGAUCCAACCAUGCCGCGUGCGAGAAGAAGGCCUUCGGGUUGUAAACCGCUUUUGUUCGGGAAGAAAUCCUCUUGGCUAAUACCCCGGGGGGAUGACGGUACCGGAAGAAUAAGCACCGGCUAACUACGUG